GCCAGGUAUGGUGGCACAUGCCUGUAAUCCCAGCAGCUCAGGAGACUGAGGCAGGAGGAUUGCGAGUUCAAAGCCAGCCUCAGCAAAAGCAAGGCACUAAGCAACUCAGUGAGACCCUGUCUCUA
rnacentral:sRNA from 1 species